rnacentral:rRNA from 1 species
CGCGUAGGCGGUUUGCUAAGUUGGACGUGAAAACUCUGGGCUUAACCCAGAGACUGCAUCCAAAACUGGCAAGCUAGAGUAUUGGAGGGGGAAGCGGAAUUCCUGGUGUAGCAGUGAAAUGCGUAGAUAUCAGGAGGAACACCGGUGGCGAAGGCGGCUUCCUGGACAGUAACUGACGCUGAGGCGCGAAAGCUAGGGAGCAAACA